GAUGGACGCUAGCUACAGGCUUAACACAUGCAAGUCGAGGGGUAGCACGGAGGAAGCUUGCUUCCUUGGGUGACGACCGGCGCACGGGUGAGUAACGCGUAUCCUACCUACCCAUUACUCGGGCACAGCCGCUCGAAAGAAUGAUUGAUUCCCGAUAUGUCAUUAGAGUAGAUCUAAUGAUGAAAGAUUUAUCGGUUAUGGAUGGGGAUGCGUAAGAUUAGGUAGUAGGCGGGGUAACGGCCCACCUAGCCGACGAUCUUUAGGGGUUCUGAGAGGAAGGUCCCCCACACUGGUACUGAGACACGGACCAGACUCCUACGGGAGGCAGCAGUGAGGAAUAUUGGUCAAUGGGCGGAAGCCUGAACCAGCCAAGUAGCGUGAAGGAUUACAGCCCUACGGGUUUUAAACUUCUUUUAUAUAAGAGUAAUGUGCACUACGUGUAGUGUAUUGCAAGUAUCAGACGAAUAAGCAUCGGCUAACUCCGUGCCAGCAGCCGCAGUAACAC
rnacentral:rRNA from 1 species